rnacentral:tRNA from 1 species
GAAUCAAGGAAAUCUAGAAAAAGCUUCUAACUUUAUUCUAAAGCGGUGAAAUUCCGUUUAUGAUUCU